rnacentral:tRNA from 1 species
GGGGGAAUUCCCGAGCGGCCAAAGGGGCCAGACUGUAAAUCUGGUGGCUUAUGCCUUCGCAGGUUCGAAUCCUGCUUCCCCCA